UACGUAGGGUGCGAGCGUUGUCCGGAAUUAUUGGGCGUAAAGAGCUCGUAGGCGGUUUGUCGCGUCUGCUGUGAAAACCUCAGGCUCAACCUGGGCUUGCAGUGGGUACGGGCAGACUAGAGUGCGGUAGGGGUGACUGGAAUUCCUGGUGUAGCGGUGGAAUGCGCAGAUAUCAGGAGGAACACCGAUGGCGAAGGCAGGUCACUGGGCCGCAACUGACGCUGAGGAGCGAAAGCAUGGGGAGCGAACAGG
rnacentral:rRNA from 1 species